AUUGAACGCUGGCGGCAGGCCUAACACAUGCAAGUCGAACGGUAGCACAGAGAGCUUGCUCUCGGGUGACGAGUGGCGGACGGGUGAGUAAUGCCUGGGAAACUGCCCGAUGGAGGGGGAUAAGUACUGGAAACGGUAGCUAAUACCGCAUAACGUCGCGAGACCAAAGUGGGGGACCUUCCGGCCUAACACCAUCGGAUGUGCCCAGAUGGGAUUAGCUAGUAGGUGGGGUAAUGGCUCACCUAGGCGACGAUCCCUAGCUGGUCUGAGAGGAUGACCAGCCACACUGGAACUGAGACACGGUCCAGACUCCUACGGGAGGCAGCAGUGGGGAAUAUUGCACAAUGGGCGCAAGCCUGAUGCAGCCAUGCCGCGUGUAUGAAGAAGGCCUUCGGGUUGUAAAGUACUUUCAGCGGGGAGGAAGGCGGUGAGGUUAAUAACCUCGCCGAUUGACGUUACCCGCAGAAGAAGCACCGGCUAACUCCGUGCCAGCAGCCGCCGUAA
rnacentral:rRNA from 1 species